GACGAACGCUGGCGGCGUGCUUAACACAUGCAAGUCGAACGGAAAGGCCCUGCUUGCAGGGUACUCGAGUGGCGAACGGGUGAGUAACACGUGGGUGAUCUGCCCUGCACUUCGGGAUAAGCCUGGGAAACUGGGUCUAAUACCGGAUAGGAGCCAUUUUUAGUGUGAUGGUUGGAAAGUUUUUUCGGUGUUGGAUGAGCUCGCGGCCUAUCAGCUUGUUGGUGGGGUAAUGGCCUACCAAGGCGGCGACGGGUAGCCGGCCUGAGAGGGUGGACGGCCACAUUGGGACUGAGAUACGGCCCAGACUCCUACGGGAGGCAGCAGUGGGGAAUAUUGCACAAUGGGCGCAAGCCUGAUGCAGCGACGCCGCGUGGGGGAUGACGGCCUUCGGGUUGUAAACUCCUUUCGCUAGGGACGAAGCUUUUUGUGACGGUACCUAGAUAAGAAGCACCGGCUAACUACGUG
rnacentral:rRNA from 1 species